rnacentral:lncRNA from 1 species
UAGGCUUUGAAGUCUUACUGCUGUUUCAAUUCUAACCUAAAUGAAACUUAUGGUUUUGUCCAUUAUAAACUCAGUCUAGCAGUUUAUUGGCUGUUGAUAAGUAUUUUCAUUUCCCAUAAUUAAUUUUCACGUUGCUUUUCUCGGGAACUUUUUUUCUUUUUGGAGGCAUGUGUGGGAAACAGAAAAUGAAAACUGGACUAAUAUUGAUGUAGGCAGCUUUAACAUAGAUGUCCACUUUUCUAAUGGUUAAAACAUCUGAAUCUUUCCAUUUCAUAACCGGAGUGGUGACAGACAAUGACCACCAUGAAUUUCCAGGAUUUUUUUUACUCUUAAAUAACACUUUUCAGGUGUAGUUCACUUGUUUCUUUAUCGGCUGUUAAGAACAAAUUAGAAGAAGUUUACACAUUGUUAAUAUAACUGAUUUAUUUUUCCCCCCCAUGUUUUAGGCUCAUGUAUAGCUUAAGUAGAAAACGAAGCCGCGUGAUUCUACGUUACUCUGAGAAGAUCAAUAGUUCUCAGUUUGCAGACCCCCUAAACUUUUUUGAGUGGAGAGCUGGAACAGUAAAUGCAGCGUGAGCUCUGUUUGCAGACUGCAAGCUCGGGAAAGACCUAUGAACGUAAACUUCUUAUAAUUGCCAACUGAGUGUUCUUGAGACAUCUUUCCUUAGACGGUCAUAUCUACGGUUUAAAGCAUUCAAGGAACUUAAGGAUAUCAUAGGUGGGUGGAUAAAUCUGGAUUUGGUUACUCUUACUGUACUGUCAUAUCAAGGAAAUUAGUUUGCAUAGAACUAGCUUUAAGUUAGUAAGAUGUCUGAAAACCUUUCAGUUAUGAUGAUAUAUGUCCAGGUAAAAGACUGAAGUUUCAGUUAUGUUUAGCCUGUGGUACUUUGCAUCUUCGUUUGCCUUU